UGGGGAAUUUUGGACAAUGGGCGCAAGCCUGAUCCAGCAAUGCCGCGUGCAGGAUGAAGGCCUUCGGGUUGUAAACUGCUUUUGUACGGAACGAAAAGCUUCUGGUUAAUACCUGGGAGUCAUGACGGUACCGUAAGAAUAAGCACCGGCUAACUACGUGCCAGCAGCCGCGGUAAUACGUAGGGUGCGAGCGUUAAUCGGAAUUACUGGGCGUAAAGCGUGCGCAGGCGGGUAUGUAAGACAGAGGUGAAAUCCCCGGGCUCAACCUGGGAACUGCCUUUGUGACUGCAUGGCUAGAGUGCGGCAGGGGGGGAAGGAAUUCCGCGUGUAGCAGUGAAAUGCGUAGAUAUGCGGAGGAACACCGAUGGCGAAGGCAAUCCCCUGGGCCUGCACUGACGCUCAUGCACGAAAGCGUGGAGAGCAAACA
rnacentral:rRNA from 1 species